AGGUCACGCACAGAGCUGACCCGGAUAAAGAUUUGAACCACGUUGUUUUGUUUUUGUCAGCGCCAGCUAGCCAACAUUUCGCUUUGAAUCCCCUAACUAAUCAUUCUUCAGCCAUUGGGAAGUAAUUUGCUAAUUGUAAGUGCAUGAAAGAUUUUCCAUCCCGCAUCGAAGUCAAAUAUAAAAAAAACUGUUGAUGGGAGAUGAUCGUGUGAAGAAUGGUCUCAACUUCAUGUAUGAAGCUCCAUCUGGGGCAGACAAAGGAAGGAGAAUCAGAAUACAAGUUUGAGUGGCAAAAGACGUCCCCUCGAGAAGUGCGCAAUGUGAGAUGCAUCAUGUGUCACAAAUAGGGCCAUGUGAAUACAGACAGUGGCCUGUCUGGGAUCAAUGCCAGCGCUGCGCCCACAGAGAAAGCAGGUCCGUCGAUGCACCCCUCCGAGUUAAUGGCAGAGAUGUGAAACAGUGGGUUUGCCCUGAAGAAAUGUGUCCUUGGAAGAAAUUCUACUGUUUGUGAUCCAUCGCAGGAGUAUGUUGUCAAUGAAGAAGAGGAGGAUCCUGAGGUUGAAUUCCUGAAGUCGUUGACCACUAAACAGAAAGAGAAGCUCCUCAGGAAUCUUGACCGUCUACAAAAGAAGAGUGAAGGAAAUCAGAAGAAGAACUGUGAUAGUAGUGACAGCUCUAAUGAAAGUAGCAGGAGUGACUCAGACUGACAGCUCUAGUGAAAGUAGCAGCAGUGACAGACUGACAGCUCUAGUGAAAGUAGCAGCAGUGACUCAGACUGACAGCUCUAGUGAAAGUAGCAGGAGUGACAGACUGACAGCUCUAGUGAAAGUAGCAGCAGUGACAGGACUGACAGCUCUAGUGAAAGGUAGCAGCAGUGACUGACUGACAGCUCUAGUGAAAGUAGCAGCAGUGACUGACUGACAGCUCUAGUGAAAGUAGCAGCAGUGACUGACUGACAGCUUCCAGUGAAAGUAGCAGGAGUGACAGACUGACAGCUCUAGUGAAAGUAGCAGGAGUGACAGACUGACAGCUCCAGUGAAAGUAGCAGCAGUGACUCAGACUGACAGCUCUAGUGAAAGUAGCAGCAGUGACAGACUGACAGCUCUAGUGUGAAAGUAGCAGCAGUGACUCAGACUGGACAGCUCUAGUGAAAGUAGCAGCAGGACUGACUGACAGCUCUAGUGAAAGUAGCAGCAGUGACUGACUGACAGCUCUAGUGAAAGUAGCAGCAGUGACUGACUGACAGCUCCAGUGAAAGUAGCAGCAGUGACUAAGAGUCAGAAGAGAAAGAAGAAGGGCAAGAGAAAGGACUCCUGUCGUGAUGACAACACUGAGAGUGAUGGAUGAGUCAAGAGUAAGACCAGGCCCAACCUCCAGACAGAAACAGCUCAAAGAUGAUACCAUAGAGGAGAAAGAAACAGUAGAGAUGAGCCACGACAGCAGGGAGAGGCAGAGAACCAGCAGCAGCUCCCAGCCUGGCCCAGAUAGAAGCAGAAGGAGAGAGAUAUAAAGACAAGGUUCACAGUAGAGAUGAGGCAAACGGUAGAAGAGAGAUAGAUAGAAGUAGUAGCAGAGAUGGAGCAAAGAAUAAAGCAGCCGCAAAGCGAGGAGUAGGAUCCUCUAUGGAGGGAGGGAGAGAGAGGGGAGGAGUAGGAUCCUAGAUGGAGGGAGGGGAGGGAGAAUGAGAAAAGAGCCAGAGGGAGAGCUGAGAGAAAGCACUGAACUGUGAGAGUAGACAAUCUUACAAAGUGGGCCAGUGAUACCAUUUUAUUUUGCUGAUGUAAACAUUUUUGACACGAAAGUGUAAUGUUUUGAAGGUUUUAUGAUGCUAUUGUUAAUAUGUACAUUUUUCUUGGUGGGCCCACUUAUUAAACAAACACAUAGAAACCAAAGUUUUAGUAACACCAUGUUUUGGUGUUGCUUGCUAGUUGGCUGCCACGGUAAAGUGAGUGCAGGGGCGUAUUCAUUAUGCCGAUUCUGUUGCAAAAUGUUGAGCAGAAGCAAACGGAAUGAAACGGGAAGGGGCCUAGCUGAAUUUGACCAAUAGAAACUGUUCAAAAUGUUCCAUUUUGCUACUGUUAGGACUAGUGAUUACACCCCUGCUCCUCAAAUAGUUCUUAUUUUCAUCCACUAGAGGGCAGCAGUAGACCUAAAAUAACUUGAACCACAGAAAUAUUUUGCAUUUCUCAGAUUAUUGAACAAAUGAAUGUCUUGCAUGCACUAUUAUUCAUGGUUGUCACUUUAGUCCAGAGAACCAUCUUCACAAUACUAUAAAAAAAUAUUAUUGCAACUCGAACUUUAAAAAUAGUAAACUGUGCUCACAUGGUUGUGACCGUUCUUCAUUACAUGUGUUACAAGUCUAGCUUAAUUAUGUAGGCUUGUUUCAAAGUGGUCUUCUGGAAGUGGCCUAAGCGGGAGCAUGGUUGACUAAUGACAAUCAAUCUAUGAUUGUUCAUUAUGCCAUGCAUACGAUUAGGUCUGCGUAAGUGAUUAGUGUGGAGACAUCAAGUUUGUUUCAAAUAUUUAAUACUGAAUACUUAAUUCUGAAUCGAGAUCAAUGCAUGGAACUGUACUCUUUCUGCAAAACCCAGUGCAUGAUUUACGCAACAUUGCGCGCCUAUCGGCCUUUAGAGAUUACUUGUUGCAUUACUUGCAUGACAUUAUCAUCAUGAUGGACAAAACAGAAGAAACGAUGAGGUCAUCGGGGUUCAUUUGACAUUGAACUGUGUAACAUACGACUUCCUAUUUGUUUUGGAGCCAUAUAUUUUAUGGCAAAGAAAUAACAAUAACUCCUGUGUCGAUAUGAUUUGUUAAGAAUUCCUGAUCAGGAAAAUUAAAAUCGAGAAUUUCUUGCAUGUUUUAUUUUA